GCAUAACACGUGGAUAAUCUGCCUGGGUGUUUGGGAUUAACCAGUCGAACACGAUUGGCUAAUACCGGAUAAGCCCCCGGGAGCUUCGGCUCUUUGAGGGAAAAGGUGGCCUCUGUAAUACAAGCUAUCACAUCCAGAUGAGUCCGCGGCCCUAUCAGCUAGUUGGCGGGGUAAUGGCCCACCAAGGCGACGACGGGUAGCUGGUCUGAGAGGUACGAUCAGCCACACUGGAACUGAGACACGGUCCAGACUCUCUACGGGAGCAGCAGUGGGGAAUUUUGCGCAAUGGGCGAAAGCCUGACGCAGCAACGCCGCUGUGUGUGAUGAAGGUCUUCGGAUUGUAAAGCACUUUCGACCGGCACGCAUAACCCUGAGGUCAACACCCUCAGGCUUGACGGUACCGGGAGAAGUAAGCACCGGCUAACUCUGUGCCA
rnacentral:rRNA from 1 species